CCUGAGAUCAAAAUACAUGAGGAUAGCAUGACAAACCCUCCCAAAAAAAAUCUGAAUCUUCAUCUCAGAUUUGGAGAAAAUUCCAAGGCUAUAGGCUUACUGUUUUUCUCAGCAAAAAAGUGAAGUAUCCCCUACAAUGAUUCCGGGACGCUUCUCCCAUGUAAAAAAGCGUUUCGAACAAGAAGCCGUCAAUCAAAUUGUGCUGGCAUUCGGAUUCCUGAGAUCAAAAUACAUCGGAAUAACAUAGAAAUUCUCAUGAAGAAAGUUCUCAACAGAUACUCCGAAAAGAUGCGCCUAGACCUGGUGCCUCAUCAUAUGCAUGCCUUCAUGUCUGUUUAAUCAAUCAUACUUCUACAGGGUAUGAUGAAGACAUAAGCUAGUUGCAUGCUGAGCUGAUCCUAUGCAAUCAUAUGUGUUUAAUUUCACUGUUAUCAAUAAAUUUGUUGCCGUCACCACAA